rnacentral:rRNA from 1 species
CUUGGUCAUUUAGAGGAACUAAAAGUCGUAACAAGGUCUCCGUUGGUGAACCAGCGGAGGGAUCAUUACAGAGUUGCAAAACUCCCAACCCUUUGUGAACGAACCUACCAGUUGCCUCGGCGGCGAGCCUUUCAGGCGGACCGCCGAAGGAAUACAAACUCUUUGCAUUAUAGUAUCUCUGAUUACUUAUUCAAUAAAUUAAAACUUUCAACAACGGAUCUCUUGGUUCUGGCAUCGAUGAAGAACGCAGCGAAAUGCGAUAAGUAAUGUGAAUUGCAGAAUUCAGUGAAUCAUCGAAUCUUUGAACGCACAUUGCGCCCGCUAGUAUUCUGGCGGGCAUGCCUGUUCGAGCGUCAUUUCAACCAUCAAGCCCUAGGCUUGUGUUGGAGCCCUGCGGCUGCCGCAGCCUCCUAAAAACAGUGGCGGGCUCGCUAUUACACCGAGUGCAGUAGUUUACUCUUCGCUCAGGGCGUGUGGCGGGUGCUGGCCGUGAAACCCCCUACUUCUUAAGGUUGACCUCGGAUCAGGUAGGAAUACCCGCUGAACUUAAGCAUAUCAAUAAGCGGAGGA